rnacentral:rRNA from 1 species
UACAGAGGUGGCAAGCGUUGUUCGGAAUUACUGGGCGUAAAGGGCGCGUAGGCGGCCAUCUAAGUCAGACGUGAAAUCCCCCGGCUUAACCUGGGAACUGCGUCUGAUACUGGACGGCUUGAGUAUGGGAGAGGGAUGUAGAAUUCCAGGUGUAGCGGUGAAAUGCGUAGAUAUCAGGAGGAACACCGAUGGCGAAGGCAGCUUGCUGGGACGGUACUGACGCUGAGACGCGAAAGCGUGGGGAGCAAACAGG